GAGGAAUAUUGCACAAUGGGGGAAACCCUGAUGCAGCGACGCCGCGUGGGUGAGGAAGUCCUUCGGGAUGUAAAGCCCUUUUCUCGGGGAAGAUCCAAGACGGUACCCGAGGAAUAAGCCCCGGCUAACUACGUGCCAGCAGCCGCGGUAAUACGUAGGGGGCAAGCGUUGUCCGGAUUUACUGGGCGUAAAGAGCGCGUAGGCGGACGUUUAAGUGUGGCCUGAAAGCCCCCGGCUCAACCGGGGAUCCGGGUUGCAAACUGGGCGUCUUGAGGGAGAUAGGGGAAGGUGGAAUUCCUGGUGUAGCGGUGAAAUGCGUAGAGAUCAGGAGGAACACCCGUGGCGAAGGCGGCCUUCUGGGUCUGCCCUGACGCUGAGGCGCGAAAGCGUGGGGAGUGAA
rnacentral:rRNA from 1 species